UCAUGGCUCAGGACGAACGCUGGCGGCGUGCUUAACACAUGCAAGUCGAACGAUGAACCACUUCGGUGGGGAUUAGUGGCGAACGGGUGAGUAACACGUGGGCAAUCUGCCCUUCACUCUGGGACAAGCCCUGGAAACGGGGUCUAAUACCGGAUGAUACUUCCACUCGCAUGGGUGGGGGUUGAAAGCUCCGGCGGUGAAGGAUGAGCCCGCGGCCUAUCAGCUUGUUGGUGAGGUAGUGGCUCACCAAGGCGACGACGGGUAGCCGGCCUGAGAGGGCGACCGGCCACACUGGGACUGAGACACGGCCCAGACUCCUACGGGAGGCAGCAGUGGGGAAUAUUGCACAAUGGGCGAAAGCCUGAUGCAGCGACGCCGCGUGAGGGAUGACGGCCUUCGGGUUGUAAACCUCUUUCAGCAG
rnacentral:rRNA from 2 species